AUGGUAGUAUUGGGGUGGGUGAUUAUACGUACGUACGUACAUACAUACAUACAUACAUACAUACAUACAUGGCGGAUGGGGAUGGGGUGUGGUACACGUGUACGGCCCAGAGCAGAGCAGAGCAGGGGUAUCAUGAAGGAUAUGCCAAGGAAGGAACGUGGCCGGUGGUUUGGUUGGAGGAAUCAGGAAUCGUCGCGCGUCGAGUGGAGACGCCUCCGCCUCGGCCUCCGCGUUGGUGUGGUGGGACCCACAGCCAGAGACAAAGACACCCCGACCCGUCUGGAGACGGGCCGAGACGGCGGCGCCGGCAUCUCAUCUCCUCUCCCCCAUAAAUAUCCGACCCUGCGCUCGGCCUCCUCCCUCCUGCAUCUCAUCUCCUUCCAGAGAAGAAGAAGAAGAAAGAAGAAAGAAGAAGAGACAAACAAACAAACAAACCAACCGCUCGUCUCUCCGGGCUCUCAGAAACAAACUUCCCCUUCCUUCCGUCCGCCCCCCACCCCAUAA
rnacentral:rRNA from 1 species